UACGUAGGGGGCAAGCGUUGUCCGGAUUUAUUGGGCGUAAAGAGCGUGUAGGCGGCCAGACAGGUCCGUUGUGAAAACUCGAGGCUCAACCUCGAGACGCCGAUGGAAACUUUCUGGCUAGAGUCCGGAAGAGGAGAAUGGAAUUCCUGGUGUAGCGGUGAAAUGCGCAGAUAUCAGGAAGAACACCCGUGGCGAAGGCGGUUCUCUGGGACGGUACUGACGCUGAGACGCGAAAGCGUGGGGAGCAAACAGG
rnacentral:rRNA from 1 species